ACAAGAAAUAAUCUGUCUUAGGUUAAUAUAUUGAAUUUAACUUUUGAGUGAAAAGGCUUAAAUAAUCUGAAGGGACGAUAAGACCCUAUAAAACUUUAUAUUGAAAAGUGGUAGGUAUAACUUGUUUAAAGAUUAUUACUUUAAAGUAUUUGGUUGGGGUGACAAAAAUAGAAUGGAAAGUAACUGUUUUUUUUUUUUACAGUGAUGUUUGAGUUAAUGAUCCUAAAAUGGAUUAAAGAUUAAGUUACUUUAGGGAUAACAGCGUAAUUUUCUUUAAGAGUUCUUAUCGAUAAGAAAGUUUGCGACCUCGAUGUUGAAUUAAAGGUUCUUUAUGGAGUAGAGACUAUAAAAGAAGGUCUGUUCGACCU
rnacentral:rRNA from 1 species